UACGUAGGGUGCAAGCGUUAAUCGGAAUUACUGGGCGUAAAGCGUGCGCAGGCGGUUUUGUAAGUUUGUCGUGAAAUCCCCGGACUCAACCUGGGAAUGGCGAUGAAGACUGCAAGGCUAGAAUCUGGCAGAGGGGGGGUAGAAUUCCACGUGUAGCAGUGAAAUGCGUAGAGAUGUGGAGGAACACCGAUGGCGAAGGCAGCCCCCUGGGUCAAGAUUGACGCUCAUGCAC
rnacentral:rRNA from 1 species